GAAAUGCGAUAAGUAAUGUGAAUUGCAGAAUUCAAUGAAUCAUCGAAUCUUUGAACGCACAUUGCGCCCGCCAGUAUUCUGGCGGGCAUGCCUGUUCGAGCGUCAUUUCAACCAUCAAGCCCCCGGCUUGUGUUGGGGACCUGCGGCUGCCCGCAGGCCCUGAAAAACAGUGGCGGGCUCGCUGUCACACCGAGCGUAGUAGCAUACAUUCUCGCUCAGGGCGUGCUGCGGGUUCCGGCCGUUAAACGACCUUCAUAACCCAAGGUUGACCUCGGAUCAGGUAGGAAGACCCGCUGAACUUAAGC
rnacentral:misc_RNA from 1 species